GAUAGAUUAGUAAGAACGUAGAGCGCUGCCAAGCCCUUGACGAGGGUUCGAGCCCUC
rnacentral:tRNA from 9 species